CUGCGCCAAUCCAGAGUCUGCAAACACGUUUCCUGGCGUUGAUUUCGCUGUUGUUGUUUUUGUUGACUGUCUGGACUGAUCUCCUCUGACUCAGAAUUGCCGCAUGACCUUCAGACCCGGAUGGCCUGCAGCGUGAAGCCGCACUUCUUCCCCGAUGUGUGGAAGACAAUGGGAGGCCUCAGGCUGCAAGGGCUGAGAGACAGGUCCCGGCUCGGGGAGGAGUCACGGGACGAAGGGUUGGAGGACAGAGAACGCGGGGAGAUGGGACUGGGCUGGAGGCCGCCAGCGAUCUGUACCUGUAGUGAUGAUGAGAGACAAGGCUGAGAUGGAGGCGGAUUUGGGAAGCUUCCCGCCACAGGGAAGCCUCUGUCUAUCUGGUGUCUCCAGCUGGUUACCGAAGCGCCGAGGGCAAGCCGGC